GAGUUUGAUCCUGGCUCAGAUUGAACGCUGGCGGCAGGCUUAACACAUGCAAGUCGAACGGUAACAUGAGUGCUUGCACUUGAUGACGAGUGGCGGACGGGUGAGUAAUGUAUGGGGAUCUGCCGAAUGGAGGGGGACAACAGUUGGAAACGACUGCUAAUACCGCAUAAUGUUGAGAAACCAAAGCAUGGGACCUUCGGGCCAUGCGCCAUUUGAUGAACCCAUAUGGGAUUAGCUAGUUGGUAGGGUAAAGGCUUACCAAGGCGACGAUCUCUAGCUGGUCUGAGAGGAUGACCAGCCACACUGGAACUGAGACACGGUCCAGACUCCUACGGGAGGCAGCAGUGGGGAAUAUUGCACAAUGGGGGAAACCCUGAUGCAGCCAUGCCGCGUGUAUGAAGAAGGCCUUCGGGUUGUAAAGUACUUUCGGUAAUGAGGAAGGUGGUGUAUCUAAUAGGUGCAUCAAUUGACGUUAAUUACAGAAGAAGCACCGGCUAACUCCGUGCCAGCAGCCGCGGUAAUACGGAGGGUGCGAGCGUUAAUCGGAAUGACUGGGCGUAAAGGGCAUGUAGGCGGAUAAUUAAGUUAGGUGUGAAAGCCCUGGGCUCAACCUAGGAAUUGCACUUAAAACUGGUUAACUAGAGUAUUGUAGAGGAAGGUAGAAUUCCACGUGUAGCGGUGAAAUGCGUAGAGAUGUGGAGGAAUACCGGUGGCGAAGGCGGCCUUCUGGACAGAUACUGACGCUGAGAUGCGAAAGCGUGGGGAGCAAACAGGAUUAGAUACCCUGGUAGUCCACGCUGUAAACGAUGUCGAUUUGGAGUUUGUUGCCUAGAGUGAUGGGCUCCGAAGCUAACGCGAUAAAUCGACCGCCUGGGGAGUACGGCCGCAAGGUUAAAACUCAAAUGAAUUGACGGGGGCCCGCACAAGCGGUGGAGCAUGUGGUUUAAUUCGAUGCAACGCGAAGAACCUUACCUGGUCUUGACAUCCACAGAAUCUUUCAGAGAUGAGGGAGUGCCUUCGGGAACUGUGAGACAGGUGCUGCAUGGCUGUCGUCAGCUCGUGUUGUGAAAUGUUGGGUUCAGUCCCGCAACGAGCGCAACCCUUAUCCUUUGUUGCCAGCGAUUAGGUCGGGAACUCAAAGGAGACUGCCGUUGAUAAAACGGAGGAAGGUGGGGACGACGUCAAGUCAUCAUGGCCCUUACGACCAGGACUACACACGUGCUACAAUGGCGUAUACAAAGGGAGGCGA
rnacentral:rRNA from 1 species